AGCUUUGCGCAGUGGCAGUAUCGGAGCCAAUGAGAUUUAUCCGAGGUGCGAUUAUUGCUAACUGAAAACUUUUCUCAUGUAAGUUUGGAAUAACGGUUGUGAAACUAUAUAUAUA
rnacentral:snRNA from 1 species